rnacentral:tRNA from 1 species
GCACCCAUAGCUCAGCUGGAUAGAGUACUGCCCUCCGAAGGCAGGGGUCAGAGGUUCGAAUCCUCUUGGGUGCGCCA